rnacentral:misc_RNA from 1 species
GAUGAAGAACGUAGCGAAAUGCGAUAAGUAAUGUGAAUUGCAGAAUUCAGUGAAUCAUCGAAUCUUUGAACGCACAUUGCGCCCGCUAGUAUUCUGGCGGGCAUGCCUGUCCGAGCGUCAUUUCAACCCUCAAGCCCCCGGGCUUGGUGUUGGGGAUCGGCGAGCCUCCGCGCCCGCCGUCCCCUAAAUCUAGUGGCGGUCUCGCUGUAGCUUCCUCUGCGUAGUAGCACACCUCGCACUGGGAAACAGCGCGGCCACGCCGGUAAACCCCCAACUUCUGAACGUUUGACCUCGGAUCAGGUAGGAAUACCCGCUGAACUUAAGCAUAUCAAUAAGCGGAGGA